UAGCGAAACAGCCCUUGGGCUGUCCGUCAGGAGUAACCGCCCUGGCGCUGAUGAGCGAGGUUGAG
rnacentral:hammerhead_ribozyme from 1 species